UUCACUCAACAGUGACAUCCAGGACAUCCUCCCACAUUCCAGGAACCAAGAGGGCCUGAUGUGAAUUCAGCAUCAACAAGUCAGAAAAGAAGGAUGGUUGGGAGUGCACAUGGCUGCUUUAGCCUAGAUCUAUACACAGAAAAGUCUCUAUAGCAAGCUACCCAACAGGCCAGACUACAGCCCUACAACAAUCAGCUCAGAACACUCAGGACUCAUUAACAAUGGCUGGACUCCUUAUUUUUUAACCCCUGCUUCCCACUCAGGCUCAACCAGAAAAAGUACACUGGGCUUUCCAACACAACCACAUACUAUGCCCCAUCUCUACUCAGCCCUCACCCUCCCUGACAUCCUCCAGUCACAAACCUUCCCGUAUUUCACUUAAAGUUUUCUCAACUCCCCAGCUGCCUCUGAAUUGCUGACAAGUGUUAAGUCCUGGGGCCGAGCUUGUGCCCUGUAAAGAAUCUUAGGUCUGCUCUCCUUUGCGUGGUUAUUGAUGAUGGAGCACUAAGCUGGGGUGAUGAGGAUUGAUGAAACCCUGUAGCCUUCUCUGAGAAAUGACAGAAGAAACAAGAAGGGACCAGAAGACAGGAUGCCACCAUCCUAUCUGAGAACACUAGAUAACUGCUUCUCUCUCCUGUCCACAGACUCAAGUCCAUGGAAAAGAAAGAAGUGCUUUAAGACCGAGCUUUCUAAUUGCUUGAGGUCUGGACAUGGACUAGGGCAUAACUUAUAUAACCAGGACACAGAAGCUGCUCGUGAGCAAGAGAACAGUAAUAAACACUCUCAGAAGGGCAUAGCUUCUACUACUCUCUGACCGUUCCUUCUCAGCCUCGUGGAGUUGCCCUCAUUCUCCAUCUCAGGAAUCACAUGAACCUCAAGAUACUGAUCCUGUUAGCUAGGAGUCAGGUCAUCUUCACGGAAGUAGGUAUGGCUCUGGCUGAAGAUACGCUCAGCACUUAAGAGCAUUCGCUUUUCUUCCAAAGGAAACAAGUUCUCCCAGGAUGGAAGUCGGACUGUUCACAACUACGAGACUCCAGCUCCAAGACAUCUGACACCCUCCUUUGAUGUUGGUGGGUACUUACAUAUUUAUGCACACGCACACAUACACACACAUAGUCACAGGCACACACACAUGCACACACAAUUAACUUGUUAAACGUGUAUGGCUGCUCCGUUCUUAGGCUGGUGUCCCUAGCCUCUCCUGAAAUCCAUAUGCUGGAAUCUAAUAGCCAUUAUGAUGGGACUGAGUGUCAAUUUUUUUUGGGAAAAGAAUUAAAUCCCGAGGACCCCACCUUCAUGAGUGGGAUUGAUGCCCUUUUAGAAGAUGUUCAGACAAACUCUCUCAUGUCCUUCUCCCAUAAGAAGAUGCAACACAAGGAUGCUGCCUCAGAGACAGAGAGAACACCGGACAAGAAACUGUAUUUUAUGCUUCACCUUUCCUGGCUGGCCUCUAGACUUAUAAGCAGUAAACAUCCAUCAUCUGUGAGCUACUAAUCUAAGUACUUUAUCAUAUGUGAGUACACGAAGACCAUGAUUUAAGCCAACAUUACAAGAAGAUAUGGAUGGGUUUAGACUUAAAAUGAAUCCCAAAGCAAUUCUUUAUGAAGAGGGUACGAAUUCGUCACAGAAUACCUGUAAAGAUAAACAUUUUCAAAGGCAAUUUCAGUUGCAAAUAUGUGGCAUGAAAAAUAAACUC
rnacentral:sRNA from 1 species